rnacentral:lncRNA from 1 species
GGCUUUUAAGAUUUUUUCGAGUUCAUCUAGUUUAUGUGGGUAGUCCCUCCGAUCAUUGUUAAUCAACUUCUCUCCAGUUUUUUUCAUAGAAAAUAUGCAGAAUCUCUCUCCAUAUCCCGCUUCAAUGGAUCAGAUUCGACCAGUUCAUCUUUUUCGUUGAAAAUCCAGAAGGUUUUCAUAGCUUUCCGCUUGAACCGCCAUUCCAUCUCGGACCGGCUACGAGUUCCGACCCAACUCAUAUCUUCUUCAGUAAUUUUGGAGUCCUGGUGGAGGAGGGGGUGGAUUUGACUUGGUGGAGAUGUUGCCCGUGUUGAUGGAGUGUGAUGAGUUAAAAACUAAUUGUG